GACGAACGCUGGCGGCGUGCCUAAUACAUGCAAGUUGAGCGCUGAAGGUUGGUACUUGUACCAACUGGAUGAGCAGCGGACGGGUGAGUAACGCGUGGGGAAUCUGCCUUUGAGCGGGGGACAACAUUUGGAAACGAAUGCUAAUACCGCAUAAAAACUUUAAACACAAGUUUUAAGUUUGAAAGAUGCAAUUGCAUCACUCAAAGAUGAUCCCGCGUUGUAUUAGCUAGUUGGUGGGGUAAAGGCUCACCAAGGCGAUGAUACAUAGCCGACCUGAGAGGGUGAUCGGCCACAUUGGGACUGAGACACGGCCCAAACUCCUACGGGAGGCAGCAGUAGGGAAACUUCGGCAAUAGACGAAAGGCUGACCGAGCAACGCCGCGGGAGUGAAGAAGGGUCUCGGAUCGUAAAACUCUGUUGGUAGAGAAGAACGUUGGUGAGAGUGGAAAGCUCAUCAAGUGACGGUAACUACCCAGAAAGGGACGGCUAACUACGUG
rnacentral:rRNA from 1 species